rnacentral:rRNA from 1 species
GUGGGGAAUAUUGGACAAUGGGCGAAAGCCUGAUCCAGCAAUGCCGCGUGAGUGAUGAAGGCCUUAGGGUUGUAAAGCUCUUUUACCAGGGAUGAUAAUGACAGUACCUGGAGAAUAAGCUCCGACUAACUCCGUGCCAGCAGCCGCGGUAAUACGGAGGGAGCUAGCGUUGUUCGGAAUUACUGGGCGUAAAGCGCACGUAGGCGGUUACUCAAGUCAGAGGUGAAAGCCCGGGGCUCAACCCCGGAACUGCCUUUGAAACUAGGUAACUAGAAUCUUGGAGAGGUCAGUGGAAUUCCGAGUGUAGAGGUGAAAUUCGUAGAUAUUCGGAAGAACACCAGUGGCGAAGGCGACUGACUGGACAAGUAUUGACGCUGAGGUGCGAAAGCGUGGGGAGCAAACAGGAUUAGAAACCCCGGUAGUCC